rnacentral:rRNA from 1 species
CGCUGGCGGAAUGCUUUACACAUGCAAGUCGAACGGCAGCAUGGGCUUCGGCCUGAUGGCGAGUGGCGAACGGGUGAGUAAUGCGCCGGAACGUAUCCAGUAGAGGGGGAUAACGCAGCGAAAGCUGUGCUAAUACCGCAUACGCCCUGAGGGGGAAAGCAUGGGAUCUUCGGACCAUGCGUUAUUGGAGCGGCCGACGUCUGAUUAGCUAGUAGGUGAGGUAAAGGCUCACCUAGGCGAUGAUCAGUAGCUGGUCUGAGAGGAUGAUCAGCCACACUGGAACUGAGAGACGGUCCAGACUCCUACGGGAGGCAGCAGUGGGGAAUUUUGGACAAUGGGCGCAAGCCUGAUCCAGCCAUUCCGCGUGAGUGAAGAAGGCCUUCGGGUUGUAAAGCUCUUUCGGCAGGGAAGAAAAGGUUCUGGUUAAUAACUGGAACUGCUGACGGUACCUGAAGAAGAAGCACCGGCUAACUACGUGCCAGCAGCCGCGGUAAUACGUAGGGUGCGAGCGUUAAUCGGAAUUACUGGGCGUAAAGGGUGCGCAGGCGGCUCUGUAAGUCUGACGUGAAAUCCCCGGGCUUAACCUGGGAACUGCGUUGGAAACUGUAGAGCUAGAGUGUAGCAGAGGGGGGUAGAAUUCCACGUGUAGCAGUGAAAUGCGUAGAGAUGUGGAGGAAUACCGAUGGCGAAGGCAGCCCCCUGGGUUAACACUGACGCUCAGGCACGAAAGCGUGGGUAGCAAACAGGAUUAGAUACCCUGGUAGUCCACGCCCUAAACGAUGUCAACUAGUUGUUGGGGAGGGAGACCUCCUUGGUAACGCAGCUAACG